rnacentral:rRNA from 1 species
GGUGAGUAUAAUGUGGGUAUCUGCCUUUUGGUUUGGAAUAACAUGAGGAAACUUGUGCUAAUACCGAAUAAGCCCUUACGGGGAAAGUUUUAACGCCGAAAGAUGAGCUCGCACUUGAUUAGCUAGUUGGUAGGGUAAAAGCCUACCAAGGCUACGAUCAAUAGCUGAUUUGAGAGGAUGAUCAGCCACAUUGGGACUGAGACACGGCCCAGACUCCUACGGGAGGCAGCAGUGGGGAAUCUUGCACAAUGGGGGAAACCCUGAUGCAGCGAUGCCGCGUGAGUGAAGAAGGCCUUUGGGUUGUAAAGCUCUUUCGUCGGGGAAGAAAAUGACUGUACCCGAAUAAGAAGGUCCGGCUAACUUCGUGCCAGCAGCCGCGGUAAUACGAAGGGACCUAGCGUAGUUCGGAAUUACUGGGCUUAAAGGGCUCGUAGGUGGUUAGAAAAGUUGGUGGUGAAAUCCCAAGGCUUAACCUUGGAACUGCCAUCAAAACUUUUUAACUAGAGUAUGAUAGAGGAAAGUGGAAUUUCUAGUGUAGAGGUGAAAUUCGUAGAUAUUAGAAAGAACACCGAUUGCGAAGGCAACUUUCUGGAUCAUUACUGACACUGAGGAGCGAAAGCAUGGGUAGCGAAGAGGAUUAGAUACCCUCGUAGUCCAUGCUGUAAACGAUGUGUGCUAGACGUUGGAAAUUUAUUUUUUC